rnacentral:rRNA from 1 species
UACAGAGGGGGCUAGCGUUGUUCGGAAUUACUGGGCGUAAAGGGCGCGUAGGCGGCCGCCUAAGUCAGACGUGAAAUCCCUCGGCUCAACCGGGGAACUGCGUCUGAUACUGGGUGGCUUGAAUCCGGGAGAGGGAUGCGGAAUUCCAGGUGUAGCGGUGAAAUGCGUAGAUAUCUGGAGGAACACCGGUGGCGAAGGCGGCAUCCUGGACCGGUAUUGACGCUGAGGCGCGAAAGCCAGGGGAGCAAACAGG